UACGUAGGGUCCGGGCGUUGUCCGGAAUUAUUGGGCGUAAAGGGCUCGUAGGCGGUUUGUCGCGUCGGGAGUGAAAACACGGGGCUUAACCCCGUGCCUGCUUCCGAUACGGGCAGACUAGAGGUAUGCAGGGGAGAACGGAAUUCCUGGUGUAGCGGUGAAAUGCGCAGAUAUCAGGAGGAACACCGGUGGCGAAGGCGGUUCUCUGGGCAUUACCUGACGCUGAGGAGCGAAAGUGUGGGGAGCGAACAGG
rnacentral:rRNA from 1 species